CACGUCCAGCGCAUCGCCGCGCACAGGGCGAACAGAAAAGAGAGAAACUAUUCGGGAGCCGUUGGCUGUUCCCCCUCCAAUGCCGGUCACCCAUCACCUUCCCCUCCCGCCCGCGCCCUCGCCCUCGCGUCCUCGCCACCGCCUAAUCGGCUGACCCGCCCGCCUUCUCCUCCGCUCCCCCGCGCGCCCGGCCACCCUCCGCCACCCCGAUGGCCGCCACCCCGCCGUCGUCGCGGGACCCAUCGCCGCAGCGCCGGCGGCCAGCCUCCUCCGCGGGGCCCCCCAAGCGCGGGGGCCUCCUGCUCGGCCGCUACGAGCUGGGCCGCCUCCUCGGCCACGGCACCUUCGCCAAGGUCUACCACGCCCGCCACGCCGACACCGGCGAGACCGUCGCCAUCAAGGUGCUCGACAAGGAGAAGGCCCUCCGCAACGGCCUCGUCCCGCACAUCAAGCGCGAGAUCGCCAUCCUCCGCCGCGUGCGCCACCCCAACAUCGUCCGACUCUACGAGGUCAUGGCCACCAAGUCCAAGAUCUACUUCGUCAUGGAGUACGUCCGCGGCGGGGAGCUCUUCGCGCGCGUCGCCAAGGGCCGCCUCAAGGAGGACAUCGCGCGCAGGUACUUCCAGCAGCUCAUCUCCGCCGUGGGCUUCUGCCACGCACGGGGCGUCUUCCACCGCGACCUCAAGCCCGAGAACCUCCUCGUUGACGAGCGCGGCGACCUCAAGGUCUCCGAUUUCGGACUCUCGGCCGUCGCCGACCAGUUCCACACCGACGGGCUUCUCCACACCUUCUGCGGCACGCCCUCCUACGUCGCGCCGGAGGUGCUCGCGCGCCGCGGCUACGACGGAGCCAAGGCGGACAUAUGGUCGUGCGGUGUCAUCCUCUUCGUGCUCAUGGCAGGCUACCUUCCUUUCCACGACCAGAACCUCAUGGCGAUGUAUCGUAAGAUUUACAGGGGGGAAUUCCGGUGCCCGAGGUGGUUCUCCAGGGAUCUUACCAGUCUCUUGAAUCGUGUGCUUGACACGAACCCAGAGACGAGGAUUACCGUGGCUGAGAUCAUGGAGAGCAGAUGGUUUCUGAAGGGGUUCCGACCGGUCAGGUUCUAUGUCGAGGAUGACCAGGUGCACAGUUUGGCAGACGAUGAGAAUGAGGUGCCGGACCUGGGGCCUAGUCAGCCUCCUCCUCAGCCACCUCCACCACAGCAAGAGGACGACGGUGAUGACUCUGGGUGGGAAUCAGACUCGUCCGUAGCAUCCUGCCCAGCCACAUUGUCAUCGGAGGAGAGAAGACGGCCCCUUGGAUCUCUCACACGGCCAGUAAGUCUAAAUGCGUUUGAUAUCAUAUCAUUCUCAAGAGGAUUCAAUUUGUCGGGGUUGUUUGAGGAGCGCGGCAACGAAGUGAGGUUUGUCUCAGCACAACCCAUGCAAACGAUUGUAACAAAAUUGGAGGAGAUUGCAAAGGUGAAGAGCUUUGCAAUUCGGCGGAAGGACUGGCGGGUGAGUCUGGAAGGCACAAGGGAAAGUGAGAAGGGUCCAUUGACAAUUGCGGCCGAGGUAUUUGAGCUCACACCAAAACUUGUGGUGGUGGAGGUGAAGAUGAAGGCAGGGGACAGGGAAGAGUAUGAGGACUUCUGUGAGAGGGAGUUGAAACCUGGGAUGCAGCACCUUGUGCACCAUACAGCCUCCGUUCCAGAUAUACCUUCUGAUACUGAGUAGCUUGUCAGGACAGCUACAGGUCAAAGAUGCAUAUGUACACAACAAUAAGUUUCCCAAAUGCUGUAAGAUUUUCAUUUCGUUUUUUGUAUGUUAUAUUUUGUUUCCCUAUCUAAGGUUGCAGGUUAUUUUUUCCAUGAAGCUCAGUGGGAGGCUUCAUUCUUUUCCCUCAUUGAUUCAUUACAUUGUUUGUAAUGCACCGCCAAAAGUCAAGCCAUCUGUCACUUUAGGUACUCGCAGAGGACUCGGAGCCUGCUGUUACAGAGUACAAGCACGGGCAAAUGCAUAAAACACAAGCAUGCGCAAAGUCAAGUGCAUAUGCCAGUACAACAUCGAAGUUGUUUUGUUGCAGCCUGCUUUAUGCUGAUUUGAAGCAGACUAAUGUGCGGUAUUAUUUGUGUCCUCCAGGCUUGUAUUGGUUAAACAAACAACGUCUCAACUUGAAACUAGCAGCGCCUGCUGGCUCAACGUGUCGUUAAAUAUACUGAACUAAGUUUGCUUCCUCCAGAAGUCUGCUGACAGAAACAUUCAGCAGCAGGUUUCUGAACGAUUUCAAGGUUCAUUGGUCAGUUUUCUCGAGCAGUUGAGUCCACCCACUGAAGCUGCUGUCGCAGUUUUCUUCCUGUUUGCUAUCUGUGUAGAACUUUCAGAACCUUGAACGGUACCCACAGUGCUGCUGGCUGCUGCAAGGAAGAUAUUUUAGGCUGUAGGGACUUAUGUUCUUCCUGAGAAGGGCCAAGCAACCCUGUGGCCAAGGAAGGUCGCAGCUGAUGAUCGAGAAUGGAGAAAAGGCGCAGUACUGUUGCUGUAUACAGGGUUUAGUAGAAAAA